GCAGAGGCAGCAUCCAGGAUCCGAUGGGACAGAGGACAGAUGCUGUAAAAAAGUGCAAAGCAGAGUUCAGGGCACUCCCACUGCUGAAACUCGAGGAGGGUACAGGGCACUCUUCAAUCACACUGCUUAGCUGCCAGCCUUGGGGAAAUGGCAGGAGAAGGCUCUCAGCUCCUCAGGCAGAGGCUGCCCAGCCCUGGGAGCUGCAGAAGGGGAGGGCUGGGGGUUCUCAGACACUCUGCCCUGGCUGAGCCUCUCCCACAGCAUCACCUCCAGCACCACCUCCAGCACUGUCCCCAUCCCCCUGAGGUGGCACUGGGCCUUCCAGGAGCAGGGGGGGUUCAGAAAGCUGAGGCUGAAGGCCCUGAGAUGGAGUGCAGAGGGAGCUGUGCCUCCCCCAGCAAUGGGCAGGUGCUCUGGAAGAGCAGAGUGGGGUAAGGGAUGCACUGAGGUGCUCUGUGCAGCACCUGCAGGGACACUGAGCCUGGGCAGGGACAUUCUGCAUCUAACACCAGUGUCUGGGCAGGGACAUUCUGCAUCUAACACCAGUGUCUGGGCAGGAACAUUCUCUGCAUUUAGCACCAGUGCCUGGGCAGGAACAUUCCCUGUAUUUAACACCAGUGUCUGGGCAGGAACAUUCCCUGCAUUUAACACCAGUGUCUGGGCAGGAACAUUCCCUGUAUUUAACACCAGUGUCUGGGCAGGAACAUUCCCUGUAUUUAACACCAGUGUCUGGGCAGGAACAGGGUGUGCUGCUCUCAGAAGUACAGACUCACUCCAGAGUUGGUGUGCCACUCAGGUAACACUGCCUCAGCUGGGACAUGUGGUGCUCAGUUUAACUAAGCUUCAGGAAGGGUAGAGAUAAAGAGAGGCACUCGGUCACCAGCCUGUGUAUUUCCUGCUUCAGCACCAUGGCUCUUUCUCCUUUCUAGGAAAAACAUGCAAUUCCCUCUCUGAAGCAUGAAAAGGCUGAACAAACCCCACAUGGAGCCACAAGAAAUACACUGCCUUUGCAAGGCAUUUUUGAGAGGUGAAAAAAAAAAAAAAAAAAAAAAAAAAAAAAAAAAAAAAAAAAAAAAGAAUAAUUUCAGAUUCACUAAAAUACUGUGGUUAGUCUGUUUUCAGACUCUCUUGCCCCACAAGGCAGCCUGCAGGGCAGUCAGCCAGCCAAGGUAUUUAGGCAAGAUAUACCAGAAAACAGGAUUUUUCUUCUCACAUAAUUGAUCAAUGGAAACAAAUUCAUGUUAUUACCAA
rnacentral:lncRNA from 1 species